GACGAACGCUGGCGGCGUGCUUAACACAUGCGAGUCGAACGGAAAGGCCCCUUUGGGGGUACUCGAGUGGCGAACGGGUGAGUAACACGUGAGUAACCUGCCCUUGAUUCCGGGUCAACUUCAGGAAACUGGGGCUAAUACCGGAUAGGAAUCCUAGCAGCUUGGGGGGGGUUGGAAAGCUUCGGCGGUCUUGGACGGACUCGCGGCCUAUUAGCUUGUUGGUGGGGUAGUGGCUUACCAAGGCUUUGACGGGUAGCCGGCCUGAGAGGGCGACCGGCCACAUUGGGACUGAGAUACGGCCCAGACUCCUACGGGAGGCAGCAGUGGGGAAUAUUGCACAAUGGGCGGAAGCCUGAUGCAGCAACGCCGCGUGCGGGAUGACGGCCUUCGGGUUGUAAACCGCUUUCAGCAGGGGCGAAGCUUGUGGUGACGGUACCUGCAGAAGAAGCACCGGCUAACUACGUG
rnacentral:rRNA from 1 species